GAGUUUGAUCCUGGCUCAGGAUGAACGCUAGCGGCAGGCUUAACACAUGCAAGUCGAACGGUAACAGGUCUUCGGAUGCUGACGAGUGGCGCACGGGUGCGUAACGCGUAUACAACCUGCCUUGAACAAAGGGAUAGCCCAUGGAAACGUGGAUUAAUACCUUAUAAUGUAUAGAGAUGGCAUCGUCUUUAUAUCAAAGAUUUAUCGGUUCAAGAGGGGUGUGCGUGACAUUAGAUAGUUGGUGAGGUAACGGCUCACCAAGUCAGCGAUGUCUAGGGGUUCUGAGAGGAUGAUCCCCCACACUGGUACUGAGACACGGACCAGACUCCUACGGGAGGCAGCAGUGAGGAAUAUUGCGCAAUGGAGGAAACUCUGACGCAGCCAUGCCGCGUGAAGGAAUGAAUGCCCUAUGGGUUGUAAACUUCUUUUAUGUAGGAAGAAAUACAGAUACGUGUAUCUGUUUGACGGUACUACACGAAUAAGGACCGGCUAACUCCGUGCCAGCAGCCGCGGUAAUACGGAGGGUCCAAGCGUUAUCCGGAUUCAUUGGGUUUAAAGGGUUCGUAGGUGGAUCAAUAAGUCAGUGGUGAAAGCCCGAAGCUCAACUUCGGAACUGCCAUUGAUACUGUUGAUCUUGAAUUUGGUUGAAGUGGGCGGAAUAUGACAUGUAGCGGUGAAAUGCAUAGAUAUGUAAUGGAACACCAAUAGUGAAGACAGCUCACUAAGCCAAUAUUGACACUGAUGAACGAAAGCAUGGGUAGCGAACAGGAUUAGAUACCCUGGUAGUCCAUGCCGUAAACGAUGAUUACUAGCUAUUAGCGAUACAAUGUUAGUGGCACAGCGAAAGCGUUAAGUAAUCCACCUGGGAAGUACGGUCGCAAGAUUGAAACUCAAAGGAAUUGACG
rnacentral:rRNA from 1 species